rnacentral:rRNA from 1 species
AGUAACGCGUGAGGAACCUGCCUUUCAGAGGGGGACAACAGUUGGAACGACUGCUAAUACCGCAUGACGCAUUUUGAUCGCAUGGGUCGAAAUGCCAAAGAUUUAUCGCUGAAAGAUGGCCUCGCGUCUGAUUAGAUAGUUGGUGAGGUAACGGCCCACCAAGGCGACGAUCGGUAGCCGGACUGAGAGGUUGAACGGCCACAUUGGGACUGAGACACGGCCCAG